UACGGAGGGGGGCGAGCGUUAUUCGGAAUUAUUGGGCGUAAAGGGCGCGUAGGCGGCCCGGUAAGUCAAAGGUGAAAUCCCUCGGCUCAACUGAGGAACUGCCUUUGAAACUGUCGGGCUUGAGGCCGGGAGGGGGUAGCGGAAUUCCCAGUGUAGCGGUGAAAUGCGUAGAUAUUGGGAGGAACACCAGUGGCGAAGGCGACACCCUGGACUCAUACUGACACUGAGGUGCGAAAGCGUGGGGAGCAAACAGG
rnacentral:rRNA from 1 species